CAAGCCAUAAGAAAGGUUUUUCGAAGUUAUAAUUGGACUUGGCGGAGAUGUCGUAGUAUUGAAGGUUUUUCUUGCGAUGGAAAGUGAUAGCCUUAGCCUUGACUUUACGCUCUUUAACAUCAACUUUGUUACCGCAAAGAACAAUGGGAAUGUUUUCACAAACACGGACAAGAUCACCUGCAUUCGAUUAGUAAUGUUCAUUAAAGUA